CAGCGCCGCGGGAAUACGAAGGGUGCAAGCGUUAAUCGGAAUUACUGGGCGUAAAGCGUGCGUAGGCGGUUUGUUAAGUCGGAUGUGAAAGCCCUGGGCUUAACCUUGGAAUUGCAUUCGAUACUGGCGGACUAGAGAUCGGUAGAGGGAGGUGGAACUCCAGGUGUAGCGGUGAAAUGCGUAGAUAUCUGGAAGAACACCGAUGGCGAAGGCAGCCUCCUGGGCCUGAUUUGACGCUGAGGCACGAAAGCGUGGGGAGCAAACAGGAUUAGAUACCCCUGUAGUCCCUGUCUCUUAUACA
rnacentral:rRNA from 1 species